UUCGAGUGGCGGACGGGUGAGUAACGCGUGGGUAACCUGCCUUACACAGGGGGAUAACACCUGGAAACAGGUGCUAAUACCGCAUAAGCGCACAGGGCCGCAUGGCCCGGUGUGAAAAACUUCGGUGGUGUAAGAUGGACCCGCGUCUGAUUAGCUUGUUGGCGGGGUAGGGGCCCACCAAGGCGACGAUCAGUAGCCGGCCUGAGAGGGUGGACGGCCACAUUGGGACUGAGACACGGCCCAAACUCCUACGGGAGGCAGCAG
rnacentral:rRNA from 1 species